UCAAAUUGCCAGCUCUGAAGAAGGAAGAAGGCAGGAAGUUCCUCAGGCCCUCUGUGCAGCCUAGCCAGCGGGCAUCCAUCUUAUUGGAACUGGUGGAGGCCCUCCGGCUGAAUGGGGAGCUAGUAAGAAAUGCUGUGCUCUCUUCCCUGGGGACUGGGGCACACUGGAGGCUCAGGGUAGGCCCAGGAACCAGGUUCUUUGAUUCCACCCACUGUUUACUUGUGCAUCAAGUGAAGGGUCUGUUUGAUUCCCAUGUUCUAGCAUGAGGCCACCAAGGUCAUGCAGGACACCAUCAAUGAGUUCGGCGGCACACCAGAAGAGAACCGCAUCACCAUUGCCAACGUGGACUUGGUCCUGAGCAAGGGCAAUGUAGACGUGGCGCUGAACAUGCUAAGGAACAUCUCACCCAAGCAGUCCUGCUAUAUGGAAGCCAGAGAGAAGAUGGCCAACAUCUACCUGCAAACCCUCAGAGACAGGCGCCUCUACAUCAGAUGCUACCGUGAGCUCUGUGAACAUCUGUGUGGCCCCCACACCAGCCUGCUACUGGGCGAUGCUUUAAUGAGCAUUCUGGAGGUAAGUGAG
rnacentral:sRNA from 1 species